GUAGGAAGUUAUUGCCAUGACAACCAGGACUGAGUGACUUGCCUUUCAGGAAUGGUAAAGAUACAGCAUGUGUGUAGAUGAUACCUGUGGUUCUCGAUGGCUUUCUACAGUGCCAUAUGGUCUUGGCAAGUGGCUCCUAGGUGUAGAAAGAGGGAUGAAGGAAAAUAUAAGCUACAUUCCAGUCAGGCCUCUGACUGAGUCCGAUGUGUAUCUUCAGGCAAGAAUGAACUUAUUGGGGCCUAUUCCUUCAUACAUUUAAUAGGAAGCUGUUACUAGAUUAUAUACUCUUAAAAGUUGUUUACAGUUCUGUAUUUCUCUGGUUCCAUAGUAGUCUACUCACUCUAAUCCAGCAAUCACUUUUAAACAUUUUGUGAAUUUUCACUUUAUCUUUAGAACUUCUUUGAAUCAUAAAGAAAACCAGUUCCUUGAUUUUAUAAUUCUUGAUCCAUCUUAUUCUGCAAAUUUUUAUUAAAAAUAAACUGCAUGAUGGUGAGGACCCGCCGGGCAUGCCCACCAGCCUCCAACUUAGCCUUGGGCACAGGCAGGGCAGGUGGGGGCUGAGUGUGCCCUGCUCAGUCCGGCUCACUCUGCCCAUUUGCAACCAGGAAACCAAACUGCUACUUGGAUCCACACUACAGAGGCACAGUGGGGCAUAAAGGCCAUUGUCCUGAGCUGCAGAAGUGAACAACAGAGAGAGGGCCUCUCUCAGGGUCCCUGAUGAAAACUGAAGCCCACUGGAAAAGUGAAGAGAAUCUCUGCAAUAAAGGCACACCAGACUACUGUACUUGGUAAAUUUCAAUGUGAGUUUUGGAGAAGACAAACGUUCAAGCCAUAGCAGUAAUCUUGUUUUGCCUGGAACAGCAUGGUUUUUGCAUUGAAAGUCUCAUAUCCUAGCAAACCCUCAGGCAAGUUGGGAGGAUUGGUCACCCUACAAACCCCAGGCUUAAUCCCAGACUUCUCUACCACGAGCCUCUCACAGAAUCUUAAAUUAACCCGUUAGAUUGUUUUCUGGGCCAAGAUAGCAAACAAAUUAUCAGUUUUCAUCAUCCAUAUUUUUUUUUAGUGGGAACAUGUUUAUUGGCUAUGUAGCUUCUACUUUACAUGGCAGAGUUAAACCAUGAAUAAAGAGUAAUAAUUAAUACGAGGGAGGAAAGGAAAACAACCAUUUGUUACAUGCCUAAUACGUCUUAGAAACCUGUGGGGCUUUUAAUAAAAACUGUUCAGAAAGAAAGCACUGAGCCUCUGGAGAAGGUGUGAGCUUAAGUUAGAGAGUGAGCAGUUUUCAAAAAGCAGAAGAAAAUCAUUAUGUAUUGAAUAUCUCUUAGCUGAAAUGCUGGACACCAGAAAGGUUUCCGGUUUCUGGAUGAAGGAUACUUGCAUAUGCAUAAUGAGAUGUCUUGGGAAUGGAAUCCAAGUCUAAACAUGAAACUCCUUAUUGUUCUCUAUACACCUUAUACAUAUGCCUGAAGGUAAUUUUAUAUAAUAUUUUAAUAAUUUGGAACAUAAAACAAAGUUUCAUAGUAUGGAGUUUUCCACUUAUGGCAUCAGGGAAAUGCUGCAGAAGUUUCAGAUUUUGGGGCAUUUUGGAUUUCAGAAUUUUACUUUAUGGAUGCUCAACCUGUACUUAUCUGAGGGGGGACAAUAGACUUAAGUGCAAAUCUUAGAUUUGUUCUUGAUUUCUGAUUCUUCAUUUCCUCACCGGAGUUUUGUGGUUUGUGGAAAUCACAUGAAAUACUUAGGGUUGUGCCUACUAUUUAGGAGCACUACGUAAAUUUGAAGCUGCUUCUCAUAUGAUUAUGGUGAUAUUUAUUCAAGAACACCCUGCUCAGAAAGCUGUGUCCUCUUAUUCAUCACUACUUUGAAGGACCUGUAAUUGAUUUCUCUGCCAUGCAUGUAGGGUAUCUGAUGCCCUUACUGAAGUCACUGGGUUUCUUGUUGCAGCUGUGCCUGUGGGCGCACAAAUAGAAAACAACAACAACACCAAAAAGCAAAAGAUGGUCUGGACUUAAACAAUCAUACUCACAAAACCAUUGUUUUUCUCCUGUGCCUUAUUAUGAGUUCAGCUUUAUUAUGGGUUUUCCAGCUAUCGAUUCAAUGCUUCCAAUUUUUAUGAGAUUUAAGUUUACUUAAGAGCCUAUAUAAAUGCAAAAAUAAAAAUAUAGAACAAUUUUUGGAACUUCAAGAUCUAUGUUAUCUAAAGGAAAUUCUUCAUUUUCUUCAUUUCUCUGCCUAUUAUUUAUAGUAGUAGCCGAAUAGAAGACAGAAUGGAAAUUCAUUCAGCUAAGGCUUCUGUUAUUCAUUGGUGAACUAGUGGCCUAAGCUACCACCACAUCUGACUAGCAACAUUCCAGUGAUAUAGUCAUGUAAAAAUGGGACUGCAAUGAAAUGUUACUUUACAUGUAUUUUUGAAUUUGAAAUGAAAAAAAGCAUAUUGUUUCUCGCUAUUGGUAUCAACUUAAAGCAUAUUUUUCUAUAUGAGCCCACCAAAGAUAGGCACAAUAUUUGUAGUAACGAGAAAUUUUUAUCCAGUUUUAUUCCCCAAAUAAGUUUUAUGUUUAAACACUUGAAACUAAUCAUUAAAGCCUCGAUAUAAAUGUAAAGAGCAAAAACUCACAGAUUGUCAAAUUUGUGUUACAGGAG
ensembl:lncRNA